GCCUGGGUGGCUCAGUCAGUAGAGCAUGAGACUCUUGAUCUUGGGGUUGUGAGUUCAAGCCGCACAUUUAGGCA
rnacentral:tRNA from 1 species